AUUUUGCACAAUGGGCGAAAGCCUGAUGCAGCAACGCCGCGUGAGCGAAGAAGGCCUUNGGGUUGNANAGCUCUGUUGCCCGUGANACAGGACCGGAUCAGGAAAUGGGUCCGGGGGGACGGUAGCGGGCGAGGAAGCCCCGGCAAACUACGUGCCAGCAGCCGCGGUAAUACGUAGGGGGCGAGCGUUGUCCGGAAUUAUUGGGCGUAAAGGGCGUGUAGGCGGCCUGUUAAGUCAGGGGUGAAAACCCGUGGCUCAACCACGGGGUUGCCUUUGAAACUGGCGGGCUUGAGUGCUCUAGAGGGCAGUGGAAUUCCCGGUGUAGCAGUGAAAUGCGUAGAGAUCGGGAGGAACACCAGUGGCGAAGGCGGCUGCCUGGGGAGUAACUGACGCUGAGGCGCGAAAGCGUGGGGAGCAAACAGG
rnacentral:rRNA from 1 species